rnacentral:lncRNA from 1 species
GUAAGUGCAUUUUUCAAGGGAGAUGCGACAGAAAAUGUUAAGAACUCCUCCUCUAGUACAUUUCUCUCAUCUUUCCCCACAUCCUUGUUUUACAAAAGGGGAUACUGAGGCCCAGAGAGGAGCCAUGGCUUGCCCAAAGUUCCACAGCAAUUCAGGGUGAGAACGACUGGUCCAAGCAGGGGUGAACUCUUUCCAAGGUGCCCAGGGCAGCCAGCCACUGAGGAAACAUCCACAGGCCUGCGGCUGGAGAUUGAACAGGGCCGCAUUCACGCUUCCAGGUGCCUCCUGCCCUGCUGUGGCCCUGUGGGCACCAGUGAUUUAUGCUUUAUCCGGGAGGCCUCUGGGCUGCAGGCAGCAGGAUGGGCUGCCUCCCGACUGUCAAAGGAAGAAACUGAGGAUCAGAGAAGUCAAGAAAUUUGGACAAAGCCCCCUAGCAGGAAAAGUGGUGGAGCUGGAACUGGAGCUGAGAUUUAAGUGUCUUGACUCCCUGGAUUUCCCGGGAUGACCCUGAAUCUGCAGGCCCAUAAUCAUCUCUGAUUCUCUUUGCUGGGCUCCACCACACCAGUGGGAAGAUGAUAGAGAUCUUCAGGGACCUGGAGAAGAGGGAAGCAACACAGCAGGACCUAUCUUUAAUCCAGCAACAGGUUCCAGAAUGUUCCAGGAGGGAGACUCUAAAUGCUUGGAAUUUCCAGACUAAGAGGAGUGUGUGUGUGUUGUUCAUGAGCCCCUUGGGUCACUCCUGAGUUUGUGCUAAAAGGUGAGAUGACUCAGGAUGGUGGCUGUCACCAGAGAGAACAACCAUGUGACCGGAAGGUUGGGGCCUCGACGCCCCCAGGCCCCCACACCAAACUCCAAGCAGAGGAGAAGCCUGGAGGUUGAGUCCAGUCAUGUGGCCAAUGGUUCAGUCAGUCACGCCUGUGUGAUGGAACCCCAAUAAAAACUGUGGACGCUGAGGCUCAGGACAGCUUCCUGGUCGGUGAACUCCCUGAUGCGCCAGGAGGAUGACGUGCCCGGAUUCCACGGACGAAAGGGCUUGGAAGCUGUGAGCUCAGGACCGUCCCAGACCUCAUCCUGUGUAUCUCUUCAUUUGGCUGGUCCUGAUUUUAUCCUUUAUAAUAAAACCAUAAUCAUACACAUAGUGCUUUCCUGAGUCCUAUGGUGUGUUCUGGCCAGUUAUCAAACCUGAGGGGGUCAUGGGAACCCCUGAAUUAGUAGCCAGUUGGUCAUAAGUGUAGGGACCCCUGAACUUGCAGCUUUGUCUGAAGUGAGGGCCCUCUUUUUGGGAGGGUGCCCCUUGACCUUUGGAGUCUG